rnacentral:lncRNA from 1 species
CUGCCCCUUUCUUUGGUGAGGUCAUCGCGAGCAUCGAGUCCAUCGACGGGACAGGGGUCAGCCUGAUCGCUUCUUUGCAAGGCGAUGUUGUAGCAGUGUCUGGCCAGGGCCUGAUCUCCCCGGACCUCUCCGAUCCCCUGGUUGGUGGGGAACUUCAACUUCAAAUGGUAGGUCGAAAUGACAGCUCGGAGGGCAUUGAG